ensembl:antisense Fhad1os2 forkhead-associated (FHA) phosphopeptide binding domain 1, opposite strand 2
AGCUGCAGAGUCACGAUUCUGAGCUUCCACGCGAGCCAGCAUCAGCAAGGCGCAAGAAGAUGUUUGCCAGAGCUGCUUUGGGAAGAGGCAGGAGGGGCUGGAGUUCUGCAUCUUGCUCUUGACCAUCUCAACAAACAAGCGUCUCUUUAACACAGAAAAGACAGCGACGACGACAUUUAGUUUAGACUUGUACUGCCUUCUGGGCCCAAGACGGAUGGGCUCUUCUCUAUGUAAGAUUUACUGAUUUGGAAUGUUGGGCCCUUUGGGGGGUCGGGCAGGGAGUGACAUAUGGCUUGCUGUAGGGGGUGCUGUUUUGGGGGUUCAUUUGCUGCUCUGGGAUCUCUGUUUAGAUCCUAGCUAGGAGGAGACUGGCAGGCUGAGGGGUCUCGCAGGAGGCAAAAUGACUUCUGCUGGCAGCAGGCAGGGCCUUGCAGAACGGGAGGGCAGAGGGUGUAGGUGUCCCUACCAUAUAGGUGUUACAGAGACCACAGUGGCUACCCUGUUCCUCAGGUAUUGCCUGUUGGGAAGCCCUCCACACCCCAGCCUGGCUGCUCUGACUCAGAACCCCACUGUCUUCCAGACCCUACACCUUAGGGGUAGAAAGGCCGGAAGAAAGACCCUUCAGAAGUAGAGAGGGUACCAUGGUGACAGAGGGAGCUGCGGCUUCCUCUUCGGAAGUCAGCAGGUAAACGGAGGGUCGGCUAGGGAAGAGGGAAUUCCCAGAGAGCUCUGAAAACCUGUGCCUUACAGACACUCAUGCCUUCGGGGCUCUGGGUGUUAGAAAAGGAGGAGAAACCGGGUAAGCUGUGAACCAGGAGCCCGAGUCCUUCCUACGGGGCCUGAGAGGCUGUGGUUUAUGGAUGGAUGGUGGGUCUUGCAUUCCUGUCUCGCAAGUUUCUCAGAGAAACUAGAAAUCCAGCAUACUGAGAUAGUACUUAAAAAGUA